AUUGAACGCUGGCGGCAGGCUUAACACAUGCAAGCCGAGCGACCGGCGGACGGGUGAGUAAUGUCCGGGAAACUGCCUGGUGGAGGGGGAUCACUACUGGAAACGGUCGCUAAUACCGCUUACCAUCAGAUGUGCCCGGAUGGGAUUGGCGAGUAGGUGGGGUAAUGGCUCACCUAGGCGACGAUCCCUGGCUGGUCUGAGAGGAUGACCAGCCACACUGGAACUGAGACACGGUCCAGACUCCUACGGGAGGCAACAGUGGGGAAUAUUGCACGAUGGGCGCAAGCCUGAUGCAGCCAUGCCGCGUGUGUGAAGAAGGCCUUCGGGUUGUAAAGCACUUUCAGCGAGGAGGCGUUACUCGCAGAAGAAGCACCGGCUAACUCCGUGCCAGCAGCCGCGGUAAUUC
rnacentral:rRNA from 1 species